GUCACGGGGGUGCGGCGCGUAACUAUGGCUGGCUGCCGCGGGUACCCUUAGCGCCGGCGGCCGCCCCCGGACAUUUCUUUCUCGGGCAGUGGUGGCAGGGUUGCUGCGCCGGACAGAGGGUAAGGGGCAGGUUGAGGAGGUGAGACUGUAGCUACAGACCUUACCCCAUGCCGCUGCGGCUUUACUAACUGAGAGAAGUGCACGGCGGUUAGUGUGGGGAGCGCGUCUCCGGCGCCGGGAGCUUGCUGGCUUCGUCUCUCUCCCAAGUGGCUUUCACCUUCCCCGCCAGCCAGUGAGGGGAAGGGCCGCCAGGCACUGGGAGUGGUGAGCGGCUGAAAUCACCGUUUUUUCGCCAGGUUUUUGCAGGCUCUUCCUGGUGAACGAAACUCUUAGCAGCGCUGAAGCUUUCCACUGGAAAUACGGCGACUGAGGUCGGCAGUGGAAGAGAGCCAGGUCAGAGGCUAAAUAUGGCACUUGGACAGUAUGAAACAGACAAGAUUUUUACUGCUGAACAGGAAAGUGUCCCUAGUGGUGAUGGCAAAUCAGGAUCCAGGGCAAUGGACCGAAGGUUGUCAACUCUCAUGACAGAGUUUAAUAAACACUUGGAAGAAAUGAGAAAAGAGCAUCAACUUUAUGAGGCACAAAUGAGUGAGAUGAGACUAAAAGUUGAACAAGUUACCAAGGAAAAUGAAAGGCUGCAUGCAGAGUUGAAAGAAGCUUUUCAGAUGCCACUGGAGGCUCUUCCUUUCAUGCCUCUGGAAACUGAAAUUCCUGCAGAUGAAGUCAUAGUGACAAACUUUCAAGAACAACUGCAGCUGAUGAAUGAAGAAAAAGAAGAAGCAAUAGAGCUCUGGCAGACUGCAUCAAAGGAGCAUGAUCGACUCCAGCAGCAGUACCAAGAACUUAUGACUGAAAUGCAGAUUCACAUGGCUGAAAGGCAAAAGCAAAAAGAUCAAUUGACAAGCUUUCAACAGUUGAUUCAGCAACUGCAUACAGCCAAUGAGAAGAAAGAGUUGAGCAAUCAACAGUUUCUGAAAACUGUAGCAGAACAGAAUGUGGAACUGGAGCAGCUACGAAAACAACUGAGGCAAGCCAAAAUAGAUGGGCAGACAGCAAAUGUGAAGAUUGAUGAAAUGACCAGAUUGAUAGAGAAGCUUCAAAGUGAAUUGGAGAGAAAGGAAGAAGACAUUAUAUCUGCCCAGCAAAGGGAAGCAGCCUCUGACAAACGGUUGCAGCAAAUGCAGUCUAGUAUAAAACAAUUAGAAACAAGGUUACGUGUUACUGUCCAAGAUGCUGAACAUCUGAGAACAGAAAGAACAACGCUGGAGAAACAAAUUGGAGAGCUUCAGACUAAGUACAGUAAUCUAGAAAGCGAGAAGUAUGAUGCUGUUGCAAAAGCCCAAGAUUGCAUACAGCUCUUAGAAGAAACUAACCUACAAAAAAGUCAGGCCCUCUUUGGAGAGAAACAAAAGGAAGAGGAAAUCCAAAAAAUGAAAGAUGAAAUGUCUCAACUUGCAGAAGAUACUGCUGCAAGAAUUAGAAAGGCAGUAGACUCUGCAAAGAAGCAAUAUAAUGUGCACAUUUCUCGACUAACAGAAGAACUUUCAGCUCUUCAGAUGGAAUGUGGAGAAAAACAGAAUCAAAUUGAACGAGCCAUUAGAGAAAAGCGAGCAGUGGAAGAAGAACUUGAAAAGAUUUACAGGCAAGAUAGAGGACAUGAGUCUGACAAUAGAAAAUUAGAGCAACUGCAUCAGAAAUAUUUACUUGCAGAAACUACAAAAGGUGACCUUCAGCUAAGUUUACAGACAACACAGAAUAAACUGAAACAACUGGAAAUGAAUUCUGAGGAGGAGAAAUCUCGUUGCCAGGAAGUUAUCUGUAACUUGCAAAGCAUUUUGGAUUCAGAAAGGGAAAAGAGUGCCUUUGUCAGUGAACAAAGGCUAAAACUUCAGCAAGAAAAUGAGCAAUUGCAAAAAGAAAUGGAGGGCUUGAAAAAACUGGCCAUGGAGACUCAACAAAAAGCUAAAAUAAAGAUAAGCAUGAUGGAGCAUGAGCACACUGUGAAAGAACAUGGGUAUGAAGCUCGACUUAAGGAAAUGGAAGACACCAGUCAAAAGUCUACUGCAGAACUCAGGCGUCUGUUAGUAGCUCAGCAAAAAGUAACAAAUCGGUGGAAGGAAGAAACAAAAAACCUUACAGAAACUACAGAAGCCAGGAUCAGUAAGCUAAAUGUGUGAAUUUGGUAAAGAGUCUCCUGUGCAGUGGUGCUUCUCUUGGAAAUCCAUUUCAUUCUUCUUUCAAGUGACACAGUGUCUAUCACAACUCAUCAUACCUGUUAUCUGUCUAAACAGAAGGAAGGCUGUGAGUUCUGUCCUGCUUGAAAUACUGGAAUGAUUGAGACUGCCUGUGUUGCAUCAUCUGGAAAACUCCUGCAAUACUUUAAUAUCCUGUAUCAGAGAGUACUGCCUGACCAGCAGAACUGAAAACACGUUCAUCUGUUAAAAACUAGUCCCUGACUCAUCGGUAGCCAUGUGUGGUUUUGGAGUUCUCAGUUUUAUCUCUUCUGUAAUUGAAAAGAAUCUGCCUCUGAAGAAUGACUUGUGUAUGAAGUGUUGGCCAGGAUUACCUUCUCCUUCACCCUACAUCCUGUACAUGGAGUGAACUGCACAGCAUCUUGGGAUGAAGAAGUUUCCUCCAUUUCUUAAACAUUAUUCUUGGCUGCACUUCUGUAAUGUUUGGCAGCCACAACUAUUUAUUUUAAGAUGUUCAUUACAGAAAAAAAGUAAUGGGAUGAGACAGCUGCAGGUACUGGCAGUAUACAAAAUUCAUAAUUACUAAGAGUAACUGAAGCAUAUUAUAGUAUAAUUCAACUGAAAAAACAGCUGGCACAUGCUACAUUUGUCAUACAAGAGCUUUGCAGAACGUACUUACUACAGCUGGUGGAUUUAUCUCCCAUCUGCCAAAAUGCUAAAAGCUCACCUUUUGUUUCCUGCUCACUUAACAAAGACAAUAUGGAGUAGGGACCAAUUUGAUUUUUCAGCAGGCAGGAUUACUGCUCUAUUUUAAUAUUAAAGUCUCAUAAUCUGUGUAGGGAAGGGUUAACAGUCAGAAUGAAUCGUUUUUCUAGCUCAGUAGCCGUCACAUCUCCUUAUACUUACAAGGUUAAACAGUUUCCUUUUAAUACAUGUUCAGACUGACCUAACUACAAAAAUAAAUUCUUGAUACACAGCUGUAUAUAAGCAUGUAAACUCUGUUUGUGGCCUGUGCUGCUAAGAACACUAAUUCCACACCUCAGUACAAGAGACAGAUUGUUUUUCAGUAACUAAGCAUUUUUAAUUUAGAAAAUUAGUCCACUUGGGUAGUCUUCUAAGAUGAUGUAACAAUUAAGAAGGUUUGUCAGAAUUUAAGAAUUUCGUAUUUUCAAAGCCUUUUACUAGCAUAGUUGAACAAGCAAUCUGCACAUUGUAAGGAGUGGUGUUUGAGUGUUUUUCUAGGGAGUCGAUUUGGAAGAAGGUAUGUAUGAAAAGAUA